AUGCCCUCUGAAUUUGAGAGUAGUGUUAAAGAGUUUAUGAAUUCACAAAAGAAUUUUAAUGCUUUGCUCGAAGAGAAAUUGCUUAAAGUUGAUGAUUUGGCUAGGAACGUUGAUAGGAUUUCUCUUGAAGUUGAUUCUUUAAAGCUUAGAUCUAUUCCUCCUAAGCAUGAUAUCAAUGAGUCUCUCAAAGCUAUGAGAAUUUCCAUUGAUGAGUGCAAGGAAAGAACCGCUAGGAUGCGUGCUUCCAAAGAUGCCUUUAUUAAAGCGUGUUCUUCCGAUUCCUAUGAAAAUCAAGAUGAAGAUAUAAAAGUUAUUGAUAUGCCCCCUAUUAAAUCUUUGUUUUGCAAUAUGAAUCUUGAUGAAACUGAAUAUGAUCUUCCUUUACCUAGAAGGCGUUCUAAGAAUUUGGAGUUUCUAGAUCUUGAUGAUGAAAUUGAUGAAAGUGGGAUUGAAAGAAAUAAAAAUCUUGAUGUUGCUAAACCCACUAUUUUGGAUCUCAAGGAAUUUAAUUAUGAAAAUUGCUCUUUGAUUGGUUGUAUUUCCUUAUUGCAAUCCGUGCUAGAUUCUCCUCAUGCUUAUAGUCAAAAUAAGGCCUUUACCGAACACAUUGUUGAUGCCUUGAUGCAAUCGUAUGAAGAAAAACUUGAGCUGAAAGUUUCUAUCCCUAGAAAACUCUAUGAUGAGUGGGAACCUACUAUUAAAGUUUAA
rnacentral:rRNA from 1 species